rnacentral:lncRNA from 1 species
GUAUCAGGCACAGGCAAGGAAAGCAACAUAUCAUCUUUGGAACAAAUUCUGAGCUCAUGCUAGGGAGCAGAAGGUGAAGAGAACGUCAUGGUUUGAGAAAUAUUCCAGAACAGAAUGGCUUUUGUUUUGACGUGUUAUCAUGGCUCCAUUGGAGAUGUGAAGAAAUCAUGGCAAGCUUCCCACCAUCCAUGAAGGAAAUAAAAGAGAAUCCUGCUGGGGAGAGAACCAUGGCUACAUCAUAUUUAAGUAACACUGGAUUUUUUGGGACUGGUGAAUACAUGAAUCAGAGGGAUGAAGUUCAGGCCUCUUUAAUCAGUAUUUUCUUGAUGAGAAGACAACUCAGAAGAAUUAGAAGAUUAAUUUUUACUAGGAAGAAACUUGAACCUUUAUCAAUUGCCUCCUCAAUUGCUGCUACUAGGAGACUGAGACAUGGAAAAGUGAUUUAUUGUUUACUGCCAUGCUUCCUGCCUGGUAACUUGAAACUACAUCCAUAUCCCCAUGGCUCCUAUCUGGUACACAUGCACAAACUUGUCUUCUGUGCAGCAGCAAAGCUUUGCUAG